UGGGGAAUUUUGGACAAUGGGCGCAAGCCUGAUCCAGCAAUGCCGCGUGAGUGAAGAAGGCCUUCGGGUUGUAAAGCUCUUUUGUCAGGGAAGAAACGGCUGUGGCUAAUAUCCACGGCUAAUGACGGUACCUGAAGAAUAAGCACCGGCUAACUACGUGCCAGCAGCCGCGGUAAUACGUAGGGUGCAAGCGUUAAUCGGAAUUACUGGGCGUAAAGCGUGCGCAGGCGGUUUUGUAAGUCUGUCGUGAAAUCCCCGGGCUCAACCUGGGAAUUGCGAUGGAGACUGCAAGGCUAGAAUCUGGCAGAGGGGGGUAGAAUUCCACGUGUAGCAGUGAAAUGCGUAGAGAUGUGGAGGAACACCGAUGGCGAAGGCAGCCCCCUGGGUCAAGAUUGACGCUCAUGCACGAAAGCGUGGGGAGCAAACAGGAUUAGAUACCCUGGUAGUCCACGCCCUAAACGAUGUCUACUAGUUGUCGGGUUUUAAUUAACUUGGUAACGCAGCUAACGCGUGAAGUAGACCGCCUGGG
rnacentral:rRNA from 1 species